UCCCACCCUCUAUGACGUCCUGUCCCAAGGAACUUAGGCCAGACCAUGCUCGAAGCAUCCUCUACAAAUUACAACUCGGACCGGGAGGCCAGAUUUCAAAUUUGAGCUGUUACCGCUUCACUCGCCGUUACUGAGGAAAUCCCGGUUGGUUUCUUUUCCUCCGCUUAUGGAUAGGGAA
rnacentral:rRNA from 1 species